CUACAGGCUUAACACAUGCAAGUCGAGGGGCAGCAUGGUCUUAUCUUGCUAAGACUGAUGGCGACCGGCGCACGGGUGAGUAACACGUAUCCAACCUGCCGUCUACUCUUGGACAGCCUUCUGAAAGGAAGAUUAAUACAAGAUGGCAUCAUGAGUCCGCAUGUUCACAUGAUUAAAGGUAUUCCGGUAGACGAUGGGGAUGCGUUCCAUUAGAUAGUAGGCGGGGUAACGGCCCACCUAGUCUUCGAUGGAUAGGGGUUCUGAGAGGAAGGUCCCCCACAUUGGAACUGAGACACGGUCCAAACUCCUACGGGAGGCAGCAGUGAGGAAUAUUGGUCAAUGGGCGAGAGCCUGAACCAGCCAAGUAGCGUGAAGGAUGACUGCCCUAUGGGUUGUAAACUUCUUUUAUAAAGGAAUAAAGUCGGGUAUGGAUACCCGUUUGCAUGUACUUUAUGAAUAAGGAUCGGCUAACUCCGUGCCAGCAGCCGCGGUAAUACGGAGGAUCCGAGCGUUAUCCGGAUUUAUUGGGUUUAAAGGGAGCGUAGAUGGAUGUUUAAGUCAGUUGUGAAAGUUUGCGGCUCAACCGUAAAAUUGCAGUUGAUACUGGAUAUCUUGAGUGCAGUUGAGGCAGGCGGAAUUCGUGGUGUAGCGGUGAAAUGCUUAGAUAUCACGAAGAACUCCGAUUGCGAAGGCAGCCUGCUAAGCUGCAACUGACAUUGAGGCUCGAAAGUGUGGGUAUCAAACAGGAUUAGAUACCCUGGUAGUCCACACGGUAAACGAUGAAUACUCGCUGUUUGCGAUAUACUGCAAGCGGCCAAGCGAAAGCGUUAAGUAUUCCACCUGGGGAGUACGCCGGCAACGGUGAAACUCAAAGGAAUUGACGGGGGCCCGCACAAGCGGAGGAACAUGUGGUUUAAUUCGAUGAUGCGCGAGGAACCUUACCCGGGCUUAAAUUGCAGAUGAAUUACGGUGAAAGCCGUAAGCCGCAAGGCAUCUGUGAAGGUGCUGCAUGGUUGUCGUCAGCUCGUGCCGUGAGGUGUCGGCUUAAGUGCCAUAACGAGCGCAACCCUUGCUGUCAGUUACUAACAGGUUCCGCUGAGGACUCUGACAAGACUGCCAUCGUAAGAUGUGAGGAAGGUGGGGAUGACGUCAAAUCAGCACGGCCCUUACGUCCGGGGCUACACACGUGUUACAAUGGGGGGUACAGAGGGCCGCUACCACGCGAGUGGAUGCCAAUCCCCAAAACCUCUCUCAGUUCGGACUGGAGUCUGCAACCCGACUCCACGAAGCUGGAUUCGCUAGUAAUCGCGCAUCAGCCACGGCGCGGUGAAUACGUUCCCGGGCCUUGUACACACCGCCCGUCAAGCCAUGGGAGCCGGGGGUACCUGAAGUGCGUAACCGCGAGGAGCGCCCUAGGGUAAAACUGGUGACUGG
rnacentral:rRNA from 1 species